UGAUAUGGUGAGAAAGGACAUAUGCCCAGUC
rnacentral:piRNA from 1 species